ensembl:snRNA U7 U7 small nuclear RNA
UAGAAAAAGUGCUCUUUCAGUAUUUCUCCAGUAGGUUUCCUCAAGGAGAAAGCCUCA